GGAGAGCUGUCCGAGUGGCCGAAGGAGCACGAUUGGAAAUCGUGUAGGCCGUUACCGCGGCCUCGAGGGUUCGAAUCCCUCGCUCUCCG
rfam:Virgibacillus sp. SK37, complete genome.